rnacentral:rRNA from 1 species
GACGAACGCUGGCGGCGUGCUUAACACAUGCAAGUCGAACGGAAAGGCCCUGCUUUUGUGGGGUGCUCGAGUGGCGAACGGGUGAGUAACACGUGAGUAACCUGCCCUUGACUUUGGGAUAACUUCAGGAAACUGGGGCUAAUACCGGAUAGGAGCUCCUGCUGCAUGGUGGGGGUUGGAAAGUUUCGGCGGUUGGGGAUGGACUCGCGGCUUAUCAGCUUGUUGGUGGGGUAGUGGCUUACCAAGGCUUUGACGGGUAGCCGACCUGAGAGGGUGACCGGCCACAUUGGGACUGAGAGACGGCCCAGACUCCUACGGGAGGCAGCAGUGGGGAAUAUUGCACAAUGGGCGGAAGCCUGAUGCAGCAACGCCGCGUGCGGGAUGACGGCCUUCGGGUUGUAAACCGCUUUCGCCUGUGACGAAGCGUGAGUGACGGUAAUGGGUAAAGAAGCACCGGCUAACUACGUG